CCUAGCUCCACCGGGAAUUCGCUGGGUGGGUGCCGCCGCCGCUCCACAACUCCGGCGACGCCGCCGCCUUGCUUCCUACCACUGGCGUCUACGCCGAGAUCUCCACCUACAUUUACUCCGCCGCCCUCUAAACAGCCUGUCCCGGCCGCGGCACCCUUGGACUCGCCACCGAAGAUCGACGGCGCCAUCCUCUUCGCUUGCGAAGAAGGCCGAGGUCUUCACGGUGGUCGGGGAGAGGUGCCUGGCUUUCAUCUCCUCGCGAAGCCCGUGCCGGCUCGGCGGUGGCGCACGAUAAUGGAGGUGGCCGAUGCUGGUAGGCGAAAUGAAAGGCGUCGCCGGCGCGUGAUUCGGUGGUCCAGGACAUCGGCGGCGCUUGAGCUUCUCCGGCGUCGGUCCUUCCCGGUGUUCCUGGUCGACGACGAGCUGGACAGGACCUCGUUGCACUGCCGCUGCAGCUGCGUGCGACAGGACAGGUUUGGCGUGCAAUUGUCGUCGCCUAGGGUUCAGUGGCGAGAUGCCCACGUCGCCCAGGUGGCUGGCGCUCACGCAGGGUGCCGGGAGGGUGUCCCUGGGCUCUCAGCGGCAGCCUGGUAGCCAGCACUGGGUCACUGAGCGAGUGCUAGCUCUCUGAAGAAGACAUCAACAGGCUCCUUAAGGGUGAUCAAUCUUCUCGCUCUGCCAAACCUCCACAAGAGCCACCAAACAAUAUCCUCUUCAUCCAGAACAGUGCUGACCAGACAUCGAGCAUGAUGGUGGAGGUCCUGUUCCAGCAGUACCCUAGUGGUGAUCUAACUGACUUGUAAAGAAAUAAAAAGGUGUUUAGUCUCUUGCAACAGUUGAGACAUAAUAAUAGCAUUUGUCUGAAAUUGUGGAAGUACUCAUGAUUAGCAUACACAAGUCAGAUUUGGACAAGGAAAUGUGUCACUGGUUAAAGCUGCUCCUUUCUCUA